GGGCUUGUGGCUCAGAGGUAGAGCGCUUGCCUGGCUGCAUGAGGCACUGGGUUCAAUUCUCAGCACCA
rfam:Ictidomys tridecemlineatus contig085813, whole genome shotgun sequence.